rnacentral:tmRNA from 1 species
GGGUCUGACCGGCUUCGAUAGAAUUUCUUUUAAAAUUUGCGCAAGUAGUGGAUGGGUAGUCACCACUUUAAGUACCUACCCAAAAUUAUAAUUGCCAACUACAAUAGCAAUUACGCUUUAGCUUACGCUUAAGGCGCAUCCUCUCGGUGAUUUCUGCUAGCCGAAUCAGGGUGUCAUUAGCAGGAUAAGAUUGUAGCGUUUUUUAAAUGUUUCGGCGUUACGAUUCGAAAAAUACAAAACAGGUUUUCGGUUAUUCUGUCGGGCUUUUAACCGAGGACUAAACAGUCCGGCUAAACUUGUAGUGCAAUUUUAAAUCAACUUCUAGACGGGAGUUCAACUCUCCCCAGAUCCACGG